CCCAGAUUAUAAAAAUCGUUAUAAAAGGGCAGAAAAUCGGAAUACUGUGCGAUGUGACUUCAGAGGAAGUAGACAGAAAGAUAAAAAACAUCAACAGACAGUGCCAAAGACAAUACAACAAUUACCAGUUAUUAAAGAAAUCCGGAGUAGGUAAAACUUUUGUUUCGAAGUGGUUUAGUCAUUGACUAUUAAGUUUUUUAAAAGACAAAAACAAACCAAGACCAAGUGGGAAUAUAGUCGGAUUAACGAACACACAGAAAAGCAAUGAUUCAGGUAGUGAUGAGGAGGCUGAAGAAACCUAAGGAAAUGACCAUGCUACCGCCAGAGUACACACAAUUUGGAAGAAAUACAACAAAAAGACGAAGGUUCGCAGGCUCAAACAGAAGUUAUUAAUAAAUUCCGUUUGAGCAAAAAAAAUAAAUAACACAAAUCCAAAAGCAACCAAAAAAAGCACCAAAAUCUUUUUGCAAAUUUUGCUUGUAAAAUUUGCCAUAAAAAAUAUCCGUAUAAGCCGACGAUUGCGACAUAUUUGGAAAGCUAAUUACUAGAAAGGACGAAAACUUCAAACUCCAUAUGCACAAGCUUCUGUGUAGCAUUUAAUUAAUACUCUUUUCUAUAAAGCAGAAAUAGGAGAAUAUGACAAAGCAAAAAAUACAGGAGCUCAAGAGCAACUGACAUCGUUCCUGCAUUUUUGAGCUCCAAAUAAAGAUUUUUUAAAUUUUUAUAUAUUUAGUAAGUAGUGAUCUUAAACCUUCGCCCUAGGUUCAGUCUGGAAUUUAUGAUGUAAGACAUAAAUGAGAAUGUUUGAAAAAAAAAUAUACAAGAGUGUACAGAUGAUAAGAUAGUGUCAUUGUGAAAUGGACUUAUAGCUCAAGGUAGACUUGAGGCGCGAAAUCUUCAGUUUUUUUAGCCUCCAGCGGAUGCCUACCCCGCAUCUUUUUUAACCUUCAUUUCGUAUUACCAUUUACUUUCUUGCAGCCCCCAAAUUAAAAAUCCACGAACCGCUGCUGAAAACUUUUACAGAAUAUUUCAGAUUUUGACAAUAAAGUGGUUAGAUAAAGUAUUCGUUACUUCAAAAAAUAGAAUAGAUUUUAAAUAUAAAUAAACAAUCUGAUCUGA